UACGGGGGGGCAAGCGUUGUUCGGAAUUACUGGGCGUAAAGGGCUCGUAGGCGGCCAACUAAGUCAGACGUGAAAUCCCUCGGCUUAACCGGGGAACUGCGUCUGAUACUGGAUGGCUUGGAUCCGGGAGAGGGAUGCGGAAUUCCAGGUGUAGCGGUGAAAUGCGUAGAUAUCUGGAGGAACACCGGUGGCGAAGGCGGCAUCCUGGGCCGGUAUUGACGCUGAGGAGCGAAAGCCCGGGGAGCAAACGGG
rnacentral:rRNA from 1 species